rnacentral:rRNA from 1 species
CAGUCGCCGCGGUAAUACAGAGGGUGCAAGCGUUAAUCGGAAUUACUGGGCGUAAAGCGCGCGUAGGUGGUUUGUUAAGUUGGAUGUGAAAUCCCCGGGCUCAACCUGGGAACUGCAUCCAAGACUGGCAAGCUAGAGUAUGGUAGAGGGUGGUGGAAUUUCCUGUGUAGCGGUGAAAUGCGUAGAUAUAGGAAGGAACACCAGUGGCGAAGGCGACCACCUGGACUGAUACUGACACUGAGGUGCGAAAGCGUGGGGAGCAAACAGGAUUAGAUACCCCAGUAGUCCCUGUCUCUUAUAA